rnacentral:tRNA from 1 species
AAUUAGAAAGCGAAAUUUUGCAUUUAGUUUCGACCUAAAUUUUGAUCUUAUUUGAUCUCUAAUUU